UACGAAGGGUGCAAACGUUGCUCGGAAUUACUGGGCGUAAAGGGCGCGUAGGCGGGAUGGCAAGUCGGUCGUGAAAUCCUUCGGCUCAACCGAAGAACGUCGAUCGAUACUGCUGUCCUAGAGGAUUGCAGAGGAGACUGGAAUUCCCGGUGUAGCGGUGAAAUGUGUAGAGAUCGGGAGGAACACCGGCGGCGAAGGCGGGUCUCUGGGCAAUUCCUGACGCUGAGGCGCGAAAGCGUGGGGAGCAAACGGG
rnacentral:rRNA from 1 species